rnacentral:misc_RNA from 1 species
UAUCGAAUUUACAAGGGGGGAGAAGGAAAAGGGGAAAGAUGAAGGGGGGAAAGAUUGUCGCUGGGGGGUUUUCCCUGUGCACGUCGUUCUUUCUUUGUUUGACUCCGUUCCUCUCUUUCCUUCACACACACACACCUUGUGCACCUGUUGUAGGUCUCUCUUGAUAAAGAGGACCUAUGUUUUUUCACAUCACACCCUCAUCGUAUGUCCAUAGAAUGUAUGGGAAAAUGAUAUAUACAACUUUCAGCAACGGAUCUCUUGGCUCUCGCAUCGAUGAAGAACGCAGCGAAUUGCGAUAAGUAAUGUGAAUUGCAGAUUUUCAGUGAAUCAUCGAAUCUUUGAACGCAUCUUGCGCUCCUUGGUAUUCCGAGGAGCAUGCCUGUUUGAGUGUCAUUGAAUUCUCAACCAUGUGUCUUGAUUGAUCAUGGCUUGGAGGUUGGGGGUUGCUGGCGGCGAUCUGGCUGUUGGCUCUCCUGAAAUGCAUUAGCAAAAGGGGUGUGGAAUGUCUUUAAUGGCGUGCACGGCCUUCGAUGUGAUAAUGAUCGUCGUGGCUGGAGCGCCUGGAAAUCUCCCUCUUCCUCAUGCUUCUAAUCUGUAUUGCUAGCCAGUGUUCUGGCUAGCUUUCUUGUGAUCUUG